AACUCAACCACAGCAGGUGCAGCGCAAAUGCAUCCGUCGACUUAAACGGCGUUUGGAAGUUCCAUGUUUCACAUACGGUGUUCAGCUUGUCGACAUAUGUUUUCAUGACGCGUUACCAGAAGAAACCGACCCUCCAUCUCCAGAGGAUGCCCCAACACCACACCCGACCCGGAGACAAUAUCUAAUGGUGGUCAGUGAAUUAGUUCCGUAUUAGGAAAACAGUGCAUGCUGCGAAUGCUGAGAUCGUGUGAGAUGAGGUUCGCUUACAAACAGGUGCAGUUCAAUAAAAGCCGCGAGGAAGACAGCAGAGUCAAGCCAUGAGGAAGAACCAUACAUAGAAUCAUAAUUGGAGACGUGCCAUAUUCCUGAGAAUGGCUAAUGAUGGAGAUUGAUGCCUGACAUAUAGACUGAAUGACUGACAGGCUGCUAGAUAGACUGAAUGACUGACAGGCUGCUAGAUAGACUGAAUGACUGACAGGCUGCUAGAUAGACUGAAUGACUGACAGGCUGCUAGAUAGACUGAAUGACUGACAGGCUGCUAGAUAGACUGAAUGACUGACAGGCUGCUAGAUAGACUGAAUGACUGACAGGCUGCUAGAUAGACUGAAUGACUUAUUUAUCAAUAUUGGUUGACUGAUGCAUAUGCCAUGUAUUUGUUUAUUUAGAACAAAUUAAAUAUUAUUUUAAUUAAUUAAUUCAUUCAUGCAAUCAUUUGUUUACUGACUUUUUAAAGGGGCCAUCAGCAAACAACACCAAAGUAGU